rfam:Vigna radiata var. radiata cultivar VC1973A chromosome 6, whole genome shotgun sequence
AAGAGAGUGAAGGAGCUUCCCUCAGCCCAUUCAUGGACACAAAAGAUUGGGUUGCAAAAUUAAUCACUAACUCAUUCACACAUUAGUAUUGAGUUUUAGGGUGAUGCUCUUUUUGCUAUGAUAUGAUUGUGUGAAUGAACUGGUGCAUACGUAUAUAUUGUGACCCUCUUUCUCUGUGCUUGGACUGAAGGGAGCUCCUUCUUUCUGUUGC